GGAUCCUCCCAGUGCGAGGCGCCGCGCUGCGGGGUGAGUCCCGCGUCGGGACACGUGGCAGAACGAAGGGGCGACGCGGGAACACGGCAUUCCUGGGCGGCAGCCGCGCGGCGCUGCGCAUGCGCGGGUCCAAAGUGAAGGAGUGCAGACAGCCUGCUUUUCCUCCUCUGACUCAGCAACAGCAAGGAAGUUGUGCUCCGCAUGCAGUGUGCAGAUUUCUGGCUUACAGACUAACUGCAAGCUGAAGAAAGAUCCAAAGCUGACGUAUCUCUGGAGUACACUGCCCAGCUCUGAGCUGGGAGUGAUGAAUACAACGUCUGGAAUCAGUUUUACUUUGCACACCCUCCACUGCUCAGCUGUGGAAGGACUGACACCGAAGGUGCGAAGGAUGGAAGUGCAACGCAUCUCACACUGUCACAGGACCAAGGCUUGCAGCAGACUCACUGUCCAGCACGCACUGCCCAGAUCAGCAAUUUUCACUUCUAUGCUCAUUAAAUCAGCAUCUUCCAGUUGAUUGCCAGGAUCGCCUCCUAGAUGGAAAAGAGGGAGAGAAAUCAGGUCUUUCUCCAAACCAGCAGAUGCGGUCAUACAGAAAUUCAUGGCAGAUGACCCCAGGAUGAAGACUAUGACGUGUUCCCCAGCCAGCACCCCCACAGUGCUCCCACCCAGACAGAGUUCAUUUCUCACCUGCUGUAAAGACUUCUUCACAAAAGGCAAAGGCAGUCCCUGGGCUGCAUAGUUACCCAUCAGAAACUGCAGGGAAGGACCCAGCGCCUCGAAUACCAAGCACAUAUGUGGGGAAAGAGUCAUGGAUUCACCAAUAGAGAGAACAUGCUGGUAAGCUUCUUGCCCUUCACCAGAGCAGCCAAACGUUUCAUUAGCCGUCCUCCCUUCCUCCAGCCACCUCCAUGUUCUCUGCUCUAGCUACUGCCCUGCUCAUCCUCCUUGUUGGAGCACAGCAGUUGGAUUUAUGUUAUCCCGUGACUCCCCAGCACAACCUUUGCUGACCGAGAGCUGCAGUACUAUUAGCAGAAGGAUAUGGAAGCCAUUCUCUCCAAUCAUUCUGAAGUCAUCUAAUAAACAGACGAUGUUUUCUCCUGCCCGAUCCUUCUUCUUCAUGCUGCACACCUGAGGGGGAAAUUCCAAGUGAACUGCUAUUAGAGACAUAUACGUGCUGCUGGUAUCCCUGCUCUUGUACCAUUACAUAUUUUCAUAGCAAAAUGUACUAUGAGUUUGCUCCCACAGAACACUGAUUCAGCUAAAGCAAUGGCUACUCUGCCAGAUCUAUUUGCACCAACACCAGGAGGUUUGUUCUCACAACAGAAAUGAGCAGCUGUGGAAGCAGGGAGGUCCCAGUCACCUCCUCUGGCAGCGCUGUGCGUGUGGACCACUGUGCUGAUGGAUAUGACCCUGGGAACCAGCUCUAUUCUGUUGAAUGGAAGGCGUGUCUUUCUGAGAGAAUUAGCAAUAAAUUAAGGUUCCUCAGACAGACCUGCCCAGAAGGAGCAGGGACAAUGAAACUGAUACCUCUAUCUGAACUCAGUGGUCGCUUCCAUAGAGAAGAGCACAGAGCCUGGGAAGAUACCUACACAUCGAAGAAGAGAGAGCUCAUCCUGGGCAGCCUCAGCAAAGCCUUCCCUGCUCUUCAGGACCUUCACAGCUACAUUCUUCUUCUUCCUACAGAAGGAAUCACAGCUUUUCAUCAUAUACAACUGAUUUGCUGCAGGCCUGGACCAGGUCAGAGAACUUCAGCCCAAAAAUGCACUGUUCACUCUGCUGAGAUGGUCGCUGUUAACUCCAGAGGGGAGCAGAGGAGCUUCACCUCACCUGCACAACUCUACCUGCACAGAAGGGUGCAAGGAGCUGCCCCACUGCUUGCCAUGCACCCCAGCACCUGGACCUGGGGAGUAUAUAGCAAAGUGACACAUGCCUUCAUCUCCAUCCAACACAGACCUGCUAAGUCCUGCGUGUAGCAUCCCUGCAAGUCACACCACACAGCAUAAAAGCAGCCCCAAGGGCACGUGGGGCUCAGCCCCUGUGGCCCUGCACACUUACCAUGCAGCUCAGGAGGAUACCACCCCUCUCAUCAUCUGGCUCGUGCUGGAGCUCCCAAAAGUGAGAUACCAGCUGGUCCUGCUCUCCUUUUAGCCUGCGGUGCUUGGGAGGGUUGUCCUUGAGCCAACCAAACUGUUCUGCAUCGCUGGGUAGAUGUGUUGAGGAGCAGAGUAUCAGAUCUCAGCACCGUUUCUGGGAACAACCUUGGCUGCAGUGUAGCAGGAGACCCAGGACAGCUGCCAUGAGUUUCCUUUACUGCCGUUCACUGCACCUGUCUGUGCAGUCCCCUGCCUCAGGGUCCGUCACCCUGCUGCAUCUCCACAGCAGCUAUUUAUAGAGGAAAAUUACCGCUCUGCUGAGAUGGAAAGUGGCUCCCACUCCCCCCACGAGCAGGGUAGCAGGUUGCGUGGCAGUGGCACCACCUCCUGUCUUUGCACGGCACAGCGGCCUCCAGCCUGUGCUUGGCAGAGGUCAUAUGCACCCAAAGCCUCCAUGUAUCACCCUGCCUGUACUCCAGGCAUCUCAGCACCCUGAGUCACACUGGCCCUCCAGACCUGGGGACAAGGCAGCACAAUUCUGAUGCGUUGGCAGCACUUUCACUCAGCUGCAUGCAGGUUUUAGUGCAGGAACAGCUGUAUCCCCCCCCCAACUCCAUCAGAAAGAAUGGGAAAGGGCUGCAUCCUCACUGUGAGCCCAGGCAGCCUUGCACCACUGCGGAGCAAAGGACCACACGCAGUGAAACCACUCGAUACAUUCCCCUUACACCCACGUGCAGCAGAGCUUGGCAGCCUCAGCCUUCCCCUGGCCUGGGGCCCCGGUGUUGUGCAGCUCAGGUUUCCUUUCACAGCCUGCAGAGCCGCAGCCCUGGUGCAAGGGGUUAAUCCUGCCCUGCUGCCAAAGCCAGGCCAGGGCCUCACUUCUCCCCCUGCUUGUGCCCCUCUCCUCUCACCUGCUGCCCCCAGCACUAUAAAUAUCGUGGGAGGGGGCUGUGAUAGAGCCAGGAGCGGGGCAACAGCAAAGGAGAGAGCUCAGCUUCAUAGGAGAGCUGAACCCAUAAAAGGGCAGCGGGAACACACACAUAGGUGAAGGCGGGACUUAAGCACAGUGGCGUGGAUUGUAUAUUAAAAUUUAUUGAAUUAUUGUGUAAGAAUUCUCUUUUAUUAAAAUCAUUUGGACUCUAAACUGAUUAUUUACAGACAAAAAGACCUUUGAUAUCACCAAAAGAUUCUCCUACAUCUCAGAACAGUAUCUACAAACAGUUAUUACAACUAUGUAACAAAAUGCAGAUUUUUUUUAUUUUUUUCAAGCUUUUUAUAUUAAUUAUUAAUUCCAAUUGGAGACAGACAGUACCUGGGGGCUCUGAGCAGAACUCAAGGUGUGGCAGGGCACAAAAGCAGCUCAGAUCGGACUGGAACAGAGACACCAAGUUGCCUGGCUGAGAGAAGAGGGCAGGGAGCAGGACAAGAGCAGGAGGAAGAGCUAUAGGAACAAA